rnacentral:rRNA from 1 species
AUUGGGAAUCUUGGACAAUGGGCGCAAGCCUGAUCCAGCCAUGCCGCGUGAGUGAUGAAGGCCCUAGGGUCGUAAAGCUCUUUCGCCAGGGAUGAUAAUGACAGUACCUGGUAAAGAAACCCCGGCUAACUCCGUGCCAGCAGCCGCGGUAAUACGGAGGGGGUUAGCGUUGUUCGGAAUUACUGGGCGUAAAGCGCACGUAGGCGGAUCGGAAAGUUGGGGGUGAAAUCCCGGGGCUCAACCCCGGAACUGCCUCCAAAACUAUCGGUCUAGAGUUCGAGAGAGGUGAGUGGAAUUCCGAGUGUAGAGGUGAAAUUCGUAGAUAUUCGGAGGAACACCAGUGGCGAAGGCGGCUCACUGGCUCGAUACUGACGCUGAGGUGCGAAAGUGUGGGGAGCAAACAGGAUUAGAUACCCUGGUAGUCCACACCGUAAACGAUGAAUGCCAGUCGUCGGGUAGCAUGCUAUUCGGUGACACACCUAACGGAUUAAGCAUUCCGCCUGGGGAGUACGGUCGCAAGAUUAAAACUCAAAUGAAUUGACGGAAU